CCCUCCUUAGGACUUGAAGGCUUAGUCUACCAUUAACAUCUUAAAGGAGCUUCAUCAUCGACUAUAUGAAUGAAUGCCUUGCACUUUACUCCAGCAAAGUAAGUUCCUCAGGCUAAACAAUGGACUUUAAAGAGAAAACUGGAAGCCACCCAAUAGAAUUAUAAACUACAUAACACUGCUUUAAGAAUAGCUGCUUCCAACCUGAAACUGACACUGGUUAUCUUGCCCAAGGACAGAGAAAAGGAGGGUUAGUUCAUG